rnacentral:rRNA from 1 species
GACGAACGCUGGCGGCGUGCUUAACACAUGCAAGUCGAACGGAAGGGCCCUGCUUUUGUGGGGUGCUCGUGUGGCGAACGGGUGAGUAACACGUGAGUAACCUGCCCUUGACUGUGUGAUAACUUCAGGAAACUGGGGCUAAUACCGGAUAGGAGCUCCUGCUGCAUGUUGGGGGUUGGAAAGUUUCGGCGGUUGGGGAUGGACUCGCGGCUUAUCAGCUUGUUGGUGGGGUAGGGGCUUACCAAGGCUUUGACGGGUAGCCGGCCUGAGAGGGUGACCGGCCACAUUGGGACUGCGAUAAGGCCCAGACUCCUACGGGAGGCAGCAGUGGAGAAUAUUGCACAAUGGGCGGAAGCCUGAUGCAGCAACGCCGCGUGCGGGAUGACGGCCUUCGGGUUGUAAACCGCUUUCGCCUGAGACGAAGAGUGAGUGACGGUAAUGGGUAAAGAAGCCACGGCUAACUACGUG